AGUGAACGCUGGCGGUAGGCCUAACACAUGCAAGUCGAACGGCAGCACAGUAAGAGCUUGCUCUUACGGGUGGCGAGUGGCGGACGGGUGAGGAAUACAUCGGAAUCUACUUUUUCGUGGGGGAUAACGUAGGGAAACUUACGCUAAUACCGCAUACGACCUACGGGUGAAAGCAGGGGAUCUUCGCACCUUGCGCGUUUGAAUGAGCUGAUGUCGGAUUAGCUAGUUGGGGGGGUAAAGGCCCACCAAGGCGACGAUCCGUAGCUGGUCUGAGAGGAUGAUCGGCCACACUGGAACUGAGACACGGUCCAGACUCCUACGGGAGGCAGCAGUGGGGAAUAUUGGACAAUGGGCGCAAGCCUGACCCAGCCAUACCGCGUGGGUGAAGAAGGCCUUCGGGUUGUAAAGCCCUUUUGUUGGGAAAGAAAAGCAGCAGGUUAAUACCCCGCUGUUCUGACGGUACCCAAUGAAUAAGCACCGGCUAACUACGUG
rnacentral:rRNA from 1 species